GACGAACGCUGGCGGCGUGCUUAACACAUGCAAGUGGAGCGACGAACCAGGCUUCGGCCUGGGGCAGAGCCGCGAACGGGUGAGUAACACGUGGGUAACGUGCCCCGAUGACCGGGACGACCCGGGGAAACCCGGGCUAAUACCGGAUGUGCUGUCCCAACACCAGUUGGGAUUGGAAAGGAAGCUUCGGCCUCCGCAUCGGGAUCGGCCCGCGGCCCAUUAGCUUGUUGGUGAGGUAAAGGCUCACCAAGGCCGCGAUGGGUAGCUGGUCUGGGGAGACGAACAGCGACACUGGAACUGAGACACGGCCCAGACUGCGCCGGGAGGCGGCAGUGGGGAAUCUGGCGCAAUGCGCGAAAGCGUGACGCAGCAACGCCGCGUGGGGGAAGAAGGCCUUCGGGUUGUAAACCCCUUUCAGGAGGGACGAAGGUUGGGCGGUGAAUAGCCGACCUGACUGACGGUACCUCCAGAAGAAGCCCCGGCUAACUACGUGCCAGCCGCCGCCGCGGUAA
rnacentral:rRNA from 1 species